rnacentral:rRNA from 1 species
GUCAUUAGUUGCUACAUUCAGUUGGGCACUCUAAUGAGACUGCCGGUGACAAACCGGAGGAAGUGGGGAUGACGUCAAGUCCUCAUGGCCCUUAUAGUGGGGCUACACACGUCAUACAAUGGAUGGUACAAAGGGUCGCCAACCCGCGAGGGGGAGCCAAUCCCAUAAAGCCAUUCGUAGUCCGGAUCGCAGUCUGCAACUCGACUGCGUGAAGUCGGAAUCGCUAGUAAUCGUGGAUCAGAAUGUCACGGUGAAUACGUUCCCGGGUCUU